rnacentral:rRNA from 1 species
AUGCACCACUACCCUCCAUGCCGGCACCCGGACAAGGUGAUAGGCAUCACGCCGCACCACGACGGCCUCGGCCUGGCGCUCCUGCUGCACGUGGACGACACCCCGGGCCUGCAGGUGAGGAGGGGCGGCAGAUGGUUCCCGCUGGACCCGCUGCCGGGCGCCCUCGUCGUCAACGUCGGCGACAUCCUCCAGGUGCUCACCAACGGCGAGUACAGGAGCGCGGAGCAUAGGGUGUUGGUGGACGCCGAGAGAGGCCGGGCAACCGUGGUGAUGUUCCAGGACGCGUGCGUCGCCGGGACGGUGAGGCCGCUCCCGGGGCUCGGCGAGGCCAGGUACAGGGCGAUCGAGUAUGGUGAGUAUGUCAAGGGGAAUUUCAGGGCCCUCGUUGAAGGGACCAGGUUCGUGGAUAGUCUCCGGACCAAUGUAGCGCAGGACGAGAAGGUUAUCUAA